AGUUGUGCUUGUCAGAGUAACGGUGAAGUCCACAAAACAAAUUUCCACAUCGGCAGUCAAACCCUGUACAAACGAAGAAGUAGAGUCAUUUGAGAACUUGAGGCAAUUAAAAGAAAAAAAAGCCUUAGUCACUAUAGAAAAGGAACCAGAUUUUCAUUGCUUUGUAACAUAAAAGACAGUGAACUCUUUUCUUCCACUUCCUGGUGAUAAGACACAGUCAACUCUUACAGAGUCUAUCACGUUAACCUGGAAAAGGAACUUUUAACUUCCUUUGACAUGGUGAGAAAUUCAAAUAACUAUGUUCAGUCUUUCCUUGCAAGGGCAAUAGCGAAGUGUUUGGUAAGCCAAACCACGUGGAGAAAACAAAAUGGGCUAUCUGCCAGCUAAUUUCUCCCAGAUGCUCUCCCUCUAUCGACUCCUGUAGAUGCAACGCAGGAUAAAAUUUACACAGGCUCUGGAGUUAGGCUAAGCUGGAUUCAAAACACAGUCCUACCAUAUCUUAAGUAAUGCUUCCUCAAGUGAAAACAACCAUCAAGGUCUGAGAUUUGAAGGAGACAAGAAAAAAAGCACCAAGAACAUUCCCUGCAUAGCUCAAAGUAGGUGGCGCUUACUGUUAGUUCAGUAACAUUUUCCCUAGGUAUACAAAAACUUUUUAUCAAUCUAAUAAAAUAAGAGGGCCUGAGUUAAUAGUUUUAUAUGAUUAGGAGACAAAUGGAAGUAAAACCCAACUUCUUUCCACCCCAAUACCACCUCCUCCACCUUUCCUAGACUACAGCUAGUCAGGCUUUUUUUUUUUUUUUAUGUGUAAGACCAACUAGUCUCUUAGGGAGUGACCAAAAGCUCCUUGUUAACUGCAGAAGUAAAACAUACAUUGUCUUGUGUUUUGUAAUACCUGUAAGACCAACUUUCUUUCUGCACAUGAAACAUCUGUUUUUCUUUGGUUUGGGCAAUUCAGGAGCUUUUUCUUCACUCUGAGAAGUACUGGGCUGAGAAACUGAUGGACUGGGCUGAGUGACAACUGAAAAGGACAAAAACACAAAUUUGUCAAGCAUUCACUGGCUAACAUUUUUAAGUCAAAAAAGGAAGUAUUUAAGAGAAACAGGAAGAUGCCUGAUAAAAAUGUUUAUAAGUAUUCCUUGAAAAUACAAGCUUUAAACAGAAUCUUCCAUUUUAACAUCAGAACUUGAUUCAAAUCUGAGAAAUUCCUGCCAAUCACCAUACUACUUGCUUCUCUAAUUUUGUAAAAUGAUCGCUUCACUCAAGAAAUUCCUUUAAAACACUGGUAACAGCCAGUACUAAAAACAAAAUCCUAAUUCUGUUUUAAAGAGCUGGGAGAUGUUAAUCAUAUGCUCAGUUUUUCCACGUUAUAAUUUCCUAAAUGCAAACUUUUCAAUCAGGGCAGUUCAAAUUCAUUACAUCACAGUAAAUAACAGUAGCCAACUUUGAUUUUAUGCUUAUAGGAAAAAAAAUCCUGUAGAUAUAAAAACAGCAAAUUUUGACAAAUAAAACUCAAACCAUUCAUCCCUAAAUCAACGUCAGAUCCAAAAAUUCCAAAACAAUCAUUUUACCAUUUUCACAGGUGCACUAAACAUCAUAGGAAGACUUGAAAGAUUUUUUUAAACCUUGGUUUUAAAAACAGAUCGGCAAACAGUCUUUAGAAACUACUCGAGAAGUAUUGAUUUUAAACUAUUAAGGAUUCCACAGGCAGAACAAGAAUCUUAUCUAAAAUGGGCAUCCACUAUCGACAGAGAUAGCAUCUACAAACAGUCCCACCGUUUCUCCACCUAAAAAGGCUUUAAGUUUCAGUGUACACAUGGCAUCAAUAAAAUUUCUCACAAUGAACAAAAAAUACAUUACUGUACUAAAGCCCACACUGCCACUAGUUCUUUAACACAAAAAUAACAAAAUUUAUAUCUACUUACAUAUAAUUCAACUACACCUGAAACACUAUAAACUCAGGUUUUAAUAUUAAUCCAAAUGUAACAAUAGCAAAUUUAUGUAUGCAAUGCUGAAAUUACUGCCCAAAUAUGCCAGCACCAAUGCUAUUAGCAUAUAGACAAGCUCCUACAACAAGCUGAUUGAUUUAAUGGCAAUUUUCUCUAAAACUCUGCCCAAAUUUAUAAUUCAAUUGCAUUAGCAAUGAAUCUACUGGGAGAAAUAGCCUAAUAUUAGACUAAACGAACAAUAUUCUACCUACUGCUACUGUGACAACAUUAAUGUUUAUCCUGAUGUCAUGAGGAUAAAGAAUAAUCUAGGGGAAUAGUUGUAUGGGGUAGAGGGAGGGUGUCAGCCAUUUCUUUGGCCACAUCUGAAAAAUGAACUACGGCUCCUGAGACAAGGGAAGAAGGGGGAAUAAGAAAAUGACACAGAAAAGGCAAAUAGCAGUGAAUCACAGAAUGCCUACUAAGUAAUAAUAAAUGCAGACUAGCUCUAACCCAAGACUAUUCUUCCAAGGUCAGAGUAAUUUUGUAUUUAAAAACCAAAACCAAAAACAAAAACCCAAACAAAGGCAUCACGGGCAAACUAAUGUGGUCAGUUUAAGGAUGGAGCUCAUUUCAAAAUGCCAAAUAUAGAUUCACCUGCCAAACUUGAGAAUUUGGCCUUAACUUUGUAAGAUUAAUACAAUAAACAAACUUGACUGCUGUUAGCAAAAGCCAGCCUCCAAAGCAGACUGUAUAACCACUGACAGUAUUUUUUCACAACAGAAGUUUUAUAUUGCAUUUAAUCAGCACUCUGCCAAAAAAGAACAAAUUGAUAAAAUAAGCUACGUGCACUAUAUAAAGCACAGAAAUCUUUUUGUUCUAGGGCCUAGUACAGGUAAUUCAAGUCAGUCUUCUUCCACCAUCAGGGCACUUCUGGUUGUGCUAUAUAAGCAAAGUUUCCAAAGUCACCAUAUCUCAUGAAAACCAAAAUGCCUUUCCACACUGAGUUUCAAACUCCCACAAAAUAUGAUAGGAAUAUUGUACUUCAAAUAAGUUCUAGUGUUCAAAUAUGUUGUUCUACUUAAAAGUUUUCCACAACAUUGACAAUAUCAAAACUAAAGUUACUGCUUUUGGUUAUAAAAUUAUUCCUUAUACCCUUGAAAUUUAACUUCAUCAAGUUUUUAACACAUCCAAUCUCCAGAUUACAGACUUUGCCCAUUAUGCACAAGGGUAGUGCAGGGGAUGAGCAGAGAAGAAACUGAGAAUAAAUAUGACUAUUUUACACUUCAAGAUACUCAUACUCAAGAUACUUUUAAAGAUAGUAGUUCUUUGCUUGGCCUAUAUUUUAUGGCUCUCCCUCCUCUUUGGUCCUUCAAUGGGAAGGAAAGAAUCCCCCCACCAGCCAUUUCUUGCACUAUCAAAUUCAGAACUGAACAAGUAUUAAAUGAAAAACAUACCUGGCUCUGACACCUCUGUUUUCGGGGUAGUUAUUUUGUCCUCUCUUGAAAUGCUCAUUUCUGUCAUUUGCUGAGUUACAGGCAAGGCAGCCACAGGCACAUUUCUAUUUGAGUUCAAGCAAACAAUUUUUAAAGGUGUUAAGGGUACUUCUUGAGACAAUGAAUAAGUUGUCAGUUCAACUUUAAAUUAUAGAAUAUUUCCAAAAUGAGCAAAUGGAGCUAGAUAAUCUAAAGUUUAAAAAAAAAUUGGAUGCCCAGCACAAAUGGUUGAGAAAAAAGUUUGAUAAAUGGCUCAUGAACUCGAGGCUGCAUUUUGUAUAGGUUACCAUAUUUUACAACCAGCUAGGGAUUUUUAGCUGUGCCUGUAACUUGUUUAAGGGCAAAAGGGCAGCUCUGCCAAAACACCUUGUCUGGCCCAAUAAUAUUCUACAGUCUCACUCGACAAUCCCUAAACCUCAAUUACAAAGAAAUAAAAAAGCACAGCAUUUCCAACACAGUAUCCUUGAGGGGGUUAGGGAGUCAGGUGUAAGUAACACACAUCUUUACUCAAUGACUUAAGAGUCAUGUAUUAAAAGACACUGAAAUCCUCGAUUGCAAAGCCAAGGGUAUCUAUUAACUUAUUAUUGGACCAGUACAGACAUCUUGAUUUCUUCUUUGUAAUAUCAUAAAAACUCUGAAACGUUCAAUCUUACCUUGAUUUUUCAGAUGUGCUGCCAGCAGCACCUUCACAGUUGUUUAAGCUAGUGUCUGCUCUCUGUACAGAUGCAGAAUCUGAGGUAGGACUGUUGGAACCACUAGCUGUUCCUAUUUAAAAAAAGGAUUUGUAAGGAACCAAUGAACACUACAAAAACUCACUUAGUAUCAAGACGUAGUAAUAAAUACUUGCAUUUAAUUAGGUUAGUGAUAUAAGCAUUCACUGUGCUGUAAUCCUAUACUUGAGUAUCCAAACAAAAAAUAUUAAAAAGUCAAUCCAAUGAACACAAGUGUGAAACAAAAUAACCCCAAAAAAGAAAACUGAAAAGCUAUAAGAUGCUUGUAGAUAGUCAUUCAUUCCUGAUCAGUCAUGUCAAGCACUUGGGCUGUUGCUUGAAUUUCAAGCUCUUAUCAGGUGUUCUCUCCAUGUGCUUUCAGCAUUCUCAGCCCCAAUUCUUGGUUCUGUAUUUCUGUCCACCAGUUCUUUCAAAUGUGUUUUUCCUUGGAAAUAACUUACCCAUUGGGCUCAUUCCAUUUGUCCUAGGAUUUCCAUAAAAGCCACAUCCUGUGCUACACAGCAUGGGCCCCGGGGUCUGGUUAGUCUCCUGAGCCAUAUUUUUCUGCUAUAGAUGAAACGAAAUUUCAGAAAUUAGUGUUAUCACCAAAAUAUAGUCUAAUAUAAUCAUCGGUAUACCGUUGUAAUUGCUACGCAAGUUUUAACAAAAGCCCAAAUUCCGUUAAUCAUUAAAAAGGGUGGGCAGAGAUAAUUAUCAAUAUUUUGUUGCCUUUAUAAAAGCAAACUGUUUUAGGACCAAAAAAAAACCCAAAAAGAAAUUUUAUCAAUUAUUAGGGUAUUUUUACCUAUCACUAUUCUUGGUUUCAAUUUAUGAAAAGGUCUGUUAGCUCUCAGGGUUAUGUUUUAAUCAAUUUGGGAAACUGGUAUCUUUAACUUUUCACUCUGCUGCACUACAGGCAGACCAUUUCAAAUGUUUUUACUUAAUUGGCUAAUCACAAUUAUCACUGAGUCUUGAUAUUUAUAGGUAGUUCUUUAAACUGGAUGAAUAAAGUUUUCUUAAAACACCUGUACAUAUCUGGGCUUCAUCAGUAAUUUGACAAAUCUGCUGAGGCAGAGCAUCUGUACUUUUUAAUGCUGAAACAUCUUCAUAUAAGGCUGAAAAGAGAACUGGUAGCCCUUCCUGCUACCCUGGCACCAACAAGUAAAUCUCUAAGAAUUUAGGGUCAGCUGGUUUACGAAACUCCUUUUACGUUCUCCAUUUGAAGUUUCAGAGUAUGUCAAAGCCAGUGCCUAGGAACCUGCAAUACACAAAUUAUGAACCAGAUUUCUCAGCCAAAGGCACUAUUAAUUUUAACAAGUGCUUGUCUUCCUCAUACCAGAAAAUAAUAAAACCGUUCCAAGCUCAAAUUCAAUGUAUUAAAGUCAAUAUAUACACAUAACCUUUAGUAAUGGUUAAUAUUCAAUGCUGGGUUACCAGAAAAAGCUUUACAUAGCAAGCAUUUGUUUCCAAGGAAGAUUUGCUUUUCUAAAAGUCUUGUUAAAACGCUGUGCUAAAUUAUUAAUAAGUUUUCCUCUGGAUGAGAAAAUACAUAUUAAAGAAAAAUUAUUUUAAAAUAAAGUUGUGGAGGGUUUUCAUGUCAUCUUAAACAUGUAUAAGCAUAUGUACAAAAAGCAUAUUUGAGAGCAUUUGCUUAAAGGAAAAUUCGUGUGCUGUAACUUGUGGUCAGUCAUUUUUUCCAACUACAUACUAGAAUACACUUUUUAGUGAGUUAUUAAAAAACGAUGUUUUAACAAGUAUUAACUACCAAAAUUAGAAGAUGGGAGAAGGGGACUAACCAAUUUUGACCUGGCCAGACCCCUGGUAAUUAUUCCCCAAAACAUUUUAUCUUCCCUUUUGUAAGUAAAAGUGCACCAUACAAAUAUUAAGACAAUCUAGCUUGUGUGGAGUGACCAAGAUCCACAACUUACUUUUAACAACAGUAUUAAUUUAGUUGACACUGUCUCUUUAAAUAUUAACUGGAAUUUAGCUGACUCAUUUUGGAGCAGGGUAGUGUAAACAUUUCAACAUCACUUAGGAAGUUUAUUAAUAAACACUUUCAGCUGGGUUUUUAAAUGAGCAUAAUAGGAGCAAAAAAUGCUUUCAAAUGAUAAAUAUGUAUGUAUUUGCAUGCCCACCACGCACAAAAUAUGUGUGAAUGUUUGCCCUAUGCAUGAAAGUUGGGUCACUCCUUAAAACCAGUUUAAGUAUGCUAGCUUACAUUUUCUACACUGAGGCCCAGUCUCAUGUGACAUUGGCUUUAAAGUUUAAGGCCAAGCGAUCAACCUACCUAAGUAAUUUUAGUUAAUCUGAUUCUUAAAAUAUUUGUUUUAGAUAAAAUGGAGGAUACUCCAUCUAAAGAUUUCACACACUCAGAGAUAACAAAGUAUUCCAACUUUGCUUCAGAGAACAUGUCUACCUUCAUUUCAUUAUAAAUAACUUUCAACUGCGAGACACACAAGAGGUACCAGGACAUGAGUCUUCUACAUGGGUUCCCAUCUUUUAGAUUUUUUUCCCCUAGAAAGCCAGCUUUUAAAUGCCAUCACAUGUGCACAGCUUGCUUUAAUAUUUCUCAGAAGCUCAGAUCACAUGGGAGGGCGCUUCAGCCUGUCACAAGGCUGCAAUGUGACAAGCUGAGCUGGAUGGAGGCUCUCACAUAAAGCCUAGUCAACAGGGGCCUCUGAAAUCAGCUUCUAUUUAUAUCUCAAAGCCUGCCAACUCCUACACAACCCCAAGAACUAAGGAUGCAGCGUUCAUAUAUCUAACAUAAGAAAACAAAAAAAGGGCUGCUAGUUUUUUCCUAAUGUAGGAAAAACUACAGAACAAUCUCAAUCUAGAAGAUGAAAGCAUAGUCAAAGCUAAAAUGGUCAAGGUUGUUGAUAAAAAACUAAGCACAGUGGAGACAGUGUAAAAAAGAAUCCUCAUUUAGUGAGGAUUUAGGGGAUGAAGUGGGGGAUGUGUGUUCCCAUUAGGUAUUGCAUUCCCCUUGUAUUUUAGAAAAAAAUACCAUUACUAUUUAUUGCCUUUAAAGUAAUUAGCAACUUGAGCAUGCACGUGUCAGCUCUAUCAGGUAUAGCUAGAAUGCAGAUUUUAUAAAGUUUAUGGCUUCCUCUAACUUACAGCUUAAAAAAACACCCGAGUGUAACUGAACAAUUCUCCAAUUCCAAUUCUGAACAAAGAGCUUUUACACCUAUGGAAUACAGUUCUUUCAGGUGCACAUGAUGUGAUGAGAUGGCAUGAAUUCCCACUCACCUGGGAAUGGAGACCUGAGUUCAAGUCUCUAGUCUGCCACUAAGUCAGUGACCUUGGGCAAGUCCUUAC
rnacentral:lncRNA from 1 species